CACUGCAGAGGGGGGAGCUCUGGAUGUUAGCUGAAGCUAACGCCAAUGGUGAACUGGGGACUCUGCGAUCACAACUGGACGGACCUGUGGCAACAACCAAACUUUUGGUCAACAAUUAGAUGUGUAGUAUUUCAACAGUAGUAUUUUACUCUAUAAAGUUGUUACCAGUUGACGCGGUCAUUUCAAACCACUCGAGGCCGGUGUUGGGUUCUGUUACAUCGGGUACUUGAGGACUGGGAGAUGGCGGUGGCCCGCGAAUUUGCUACAGAAACCGACCAGCAGGUUUGGUUACACUGUCAUAAGAGGGCAGGGAGGCAGUUGAGGGAGUGCCCUCCUUCUUGUCUUGUUCCUGAUUGUCCCCGCCAUUCUCCACUUUGUUAUUGGCUGGUCUGCGCUUACAGACAAAACCCCGCCUAGCCAGCAAACAGGUUGACACCCAUGAUGCUGAAGAUGAGCCAGAAGAUGAGACACACCAGCAGCACAUUCAUGAUGGAGGGAAUUGCACCCACCAAGGCGUUCACCACAACCUGUAGAGAACAGCGAGGACACAGAGCCACUGUUGGUGGUUCAAUCCCUGGCUCCUCCAGUCUGCAUGGUCCAAUCCCAAUCAUCACCCAAAAGCCUAAACCCUGAACCCUCACAGAGUUAGUAGAUGUCACUUGGUUUCCGAUGACCAUGACCAUCAUGAAGACGGUGAGGCACAUGGUCUGUCCUGCCACCUCCAUACAGUCCCACAUGGUCUCAAUCCACUCCCCACACAACACUCUGAACACAAUCAGGAAGGAGUGGAAGAAGUCAUUCAUGUGCCAGCGAGGCAGUUCACAGUCCAGGGCGAUUUUACACACGCAGUCCUUGUAGCUUUUGCCAAACAGCUGCAUGCCCACCACGGCAAAGAUGAAGACGAUGAUGGCCAACACCAGGGUCAGAUUACCCAGAGCUCCCACUGAGUUACCAAUGAUCUUGAUCAGCAUGUUGAGGGUGGGCCACGAUUUGGCUAGUUUGAACACUCUCAACUACAAGAGACACAGGAUUAUUCCAAAGUUAGUUUUAUUUUAGGACAUUGAUUUAAAAGUGGUUGGACAUAAAAUUACUCAUGUUUUUAUUUCAUUUUGAAGGUCAAGUGAAGCAAAUGUACUGGCUGCCAACAUGUGUAUGCCAUGUGGUGGGCACAGGCACAAGAUAUAAAUAUUAGGAGGUUUUACAGUUUAAAGAUAAGAUAAGUCUUGAUCCCCAGAGAGGGAAUUCUGCAUCAAAUACGUUUAGCAAAUAAACAACACAUUAGUAGUAUACACAAUCUAAUUUUCAUAUUUUUCAAGCCUUAAACUCAGC